GAUGAACGCUGGCGGCGUGCCUAAUACAUGCAAGUCGAGCGAACAGACGAGGAGCUUGCUCCUCUGACGUUAGCGGCGGACGGGUGAGUAACACGUGGAUAACCUACCUAUAAGACUGGGAUAACUUCGGGAAACCGGAGCUAAUACCGGAUAAUAUAUUGAACCGCAUGGUUCAAUAGUGAAAGACGGUUUUGCUGUCACUUAUAGAUGGAUCCGCGCCGCAUUAGCUAGUUGGGAAGGUAACGGCUUACCAAGGCAACGAUGCGUAGCCGACCUGAGAGGGUGAUCGGCCCCACUGGAGCUGAGACACGGUCCAGGCUCCUACGGGAGGCAGCAGUAGGGACUCUUCCGCAAUGGGCGAAAGCUUGACGGAGCAACGCCGCGUGAGUGAUGAAGGUCUUCGGAUCGUAAAACUCUGUUAUUAGGGAAGAACAAAUGUGUAAGUAACUAUGCACGUCUUGACGGUACCUAAUCAGAAAGCCACGGCUAACUACGG
rnacentral:rRNA from 1 species